AUUGAACGCUGGCGGAAUGCUUUACACAUGCAAGUCGAGCGGCAGCGCGGGGCAACCUGGCGGCGAGCGGCGAACGGGUGAGUAAUACAUCGGAACGUGCCCAGACGUGGGGGAUAACUACUCGAAAGAGUGGCUAAUACCGCAUACGAUCUACGGAUGAAAGCGGGGGAUCGCAAGACCUCGCGCGUCUGGAGCGGCUGAUGGCAGAUUAGGUAGUUGGUGGAAUAAAAGCCUACCAAGCCAACGAUCUGUAGCUGGUCUGAGAGGAUGAUCAGCCACACUGGGACUGAGACACGGCCCAGACUCCUACGGGAGGCAGCAGUGGGGAAUUUUGGACAAUGGGCGAAAGCCUGAUCCAGCCAUUCCGCGUGCAGGAUGAAGGCCCUCGGGUUGUAAACUGCUUUUGUACAGAACGAAAAAGACUCUGGUUAAUACCUGGAGUCCAUGACGGUACUGUAAGAAUAAGCACCGGCUAACUACGUGCCAG
rnacentral:rRNA from 1 species